rnacentral:lncRNA from 1 species
CAGUUCCAAGCUUUUUCUGAUCAAUAAUCCAUCACCAAUCAAUAAUUUUUCCACCCCUUGAAUUCAAGAGUUUGACUGGCUUGCUGUUUCCAGAACUGAUCACCUUCAAGGAGCUUUUAUCUUCCAAAUACAAACUGUUUCUUAGGAAGUGAUGCUGUGGACUUUCAUAUUAAAGAGCCAAGUGUUCUACCACCACACAUUUCCAAAUUCAGUUCUGGGUUCUGUAAUAUAUGUUCUUCUGACCUAGCCUUCCAAAAUCACCCCACACUGAUGAAUGUGAAGAUGGGCACCAAGACCAAGUUAAGCUUCUCUUAGACAGUACCUGCUGGUGCUGCUUGCCAAAUGAAUAAGCGUGCCCUGGCACCUAGCUCUGGAAACAACCAAGUAGAGGAAUCUCUUGUUAGCACUGACAUCUGGUGGUCACUGAGAGGCCAGCACCCCAGCAUCUUGAACUUAAAAGUAUGCACCUGGGAACCAGGCACCAACCCCGACGACUCCAGCAGAAUUGAUUCCUCGUCCCCCUCCUCUCCUGGACCACCUACCUUCUCCAUGCAGCUGGACUCAGCAAGCUGGAGAGAAAGAUCAAGGAUUUAGAGUCGGAUGCAGCCAGGGUCCACAGCCUAACACGUGAUCCCAGGUGUUACUGACAUUUUUGGUGAGACAAUUCAUAAGGUGGGAAUGCCCUGAGAAUUGCAGGCAUUUGACAUCCCUGAGUCCUGGACACCAGAUGCUGAUGUGAAUGUUAUUUUAAUGGAGCUGCCACCCUAUAGACAACAGGUGGUGUCUACACGUGAGUCCACAGACUGACUGCAUGAUGACUUGCUCAAGAGAACUUGAGAACAAACGGGAGCCACGACACGCUUGGAAAUGAAUUGUACAGCUUUCCAUCAGACUUCAUUUCUGUAAACUUAAGAAUAUACUUCUGCAGAAUUUUGCAAAAGCCUGUACUCAAGUUUGGGCUUCAGAUGGAGGAGCUUGUUUUUUCCAUGUUUGGACAGCUAUGUGAUCCAAUAUGGCAGGAGCUA